rnacentral:rRNA from 1 species
GGGGGAUAUUGCGCAAUGGGCGAAAGCCUGACGCAGCGACGCCGCGUGGGUGAUGAAGGCCUUCGGGUCGUAAAGCCCUGUCGAGGGGAACGAAUCAGUUUGGUCCUAAUACGACCAGUCCCUGACGGUACCCCUAAAGGAAGCACCGGCUAACUCCGUGCCAGCAGCCGCGGUAAUACGGAGGGUGCAAGCGUUGUUCGGAAUCACUGGGCGUAAAGGGCGUGUAGGCGGUCCGCUAAGUCUGAUGUGAAAGCCCGAGGCUUACCCUCGGAAGUGCAUUGGAGACUGGCGGACUGGAGUCCCGGAGAGGAGGGUGGAAUUCCUGGUGUAGCGGUGAAAUGCGUAGAUAUCAGGAGGAACACCGGUGGCGAAGGCGGCCCUCUGGACGGUGACUGACGCUGAGACGCGAAAGCGUGGGGAGCAAAC